rnacentral:rRNA from 1 species
CCUACGGGCGGCAGCAGUGAGGAAUAUUGGACAAUGGGCGCAAGCCUGAUCCAGCCAUGCCGCGUGCAGGAUGACGGUCCUAUGGAUUGUAAACUGCUUUUGCACAGGAAGAAACACCCCCUCGUGAGGGGGCUUGACGGUACUGUGAGAAUAAGGAUCGGCUAACUCCGUGCCAGCAGCCGCGGUAAUACGGAGGAUCCAAGCGUUAUCCGGAAUCAUUGGGUUUAAAGGGUCCGUAGGCGGUUUGGUAAGUCAGUGGUGAAAGCCCAUCGCUCAACGGUGGAACGGCCAUUGAUACUGCCAGACUUGAAUUAUUAGGAAGUAACUAGAAUAUGUAGUGUAGCGGUGAAAUGCUUAGAGAUUACAUGGAAUACCAAUUGCGAAGGCAGGUUACUACUAAUUGAUUGACGCUGAUGGACGAAAGCGUGGGUAGCGAACAGGAUUAGAUACCCCAGUAGUC